rnacentral:rRNA from 1 species
AACGAACGCUGGCGGCAUGCCUAACACAUGCCAGUCGAUCGAGACCUUCGGGUCUAGUGGCGCACGGGUGCGUAACGCGUGGGAACCUGCCCUUAGGUUCGGAAUAACUCCCCGAAAGGGGUGCUAAUACCGGAUAAUGUCUUCGGACCAAAGAUUUAUCGCCUUUGGAUGGGCCCGCGUUGGAUUAGCUAGUUGGUAGGGUAAAAGCCUACCAAGGCGACGAUCCAUAGCUGGUCUGAGAGGAUGAUCAGCCACACUGGGACUGAGACACGGCCCAGACUCCUACGGGAGGCAGCAGUGGGGAAUAUUGGACAAUGGGCGAAAGCCUGAUCCAGCAAUGCCGCGUGAGUGAUGAAGGCCUUAGGGUUGUAAAGCUCUUUUACCCGGGAUGAUAAUGACAGUACCGGAAGAAUAAGCUCCGGCUAACUCCGUG